CCGUUAAGUCAUAAUAGGUCAUUCCGUGUUGUGAUGUUAUAAAUCAUAUCUGCUGCUGUAAGUGCAGGAACAUUCUAUUUCCUCCCAGUUCUAACUAAGGAUCUGACAGAGAUUCACCUCUGUUUCUGGGUCUCAAUGGCAUACAGAUCAAUGCCUCACUUGGAUGUGGCAGAAGACUUGGAAAUUGAAGCUACUUGCGUACCCAUUAUCCAUUAGUGCUUCUUCAAAGGGGUUGUAAGUAUUUUGUGUGCUGUAUUAGGAUUGGAAACAGGAAAGGAAAUUGACUAGAGUACAACAUUAUUUUCCCCAGUAUCAUCUAUAAAUUGCUUUACUUUAGUAAUUUAUCUAUAUAUUAUUACGUCCGGCUCUCUGCCAGGUUAAACAACUACAUAGAAACAUAGAAUGUGACGGCAGAUAAGAACCAUUCAGCCCAUCUAAUCUGCCCAAUUUUCUAAAUACUUUCAUUAGUCCCUAGCCUUAUCUUAUAGUUAGGAUAGCCUUAUGCCUAUCCCACGCAUGCUUAACCCCUUAACGACCUAGGACGGUUCAGGACCGUCAUCGGCAUUUUUGCGCUGCUGACCGGUGACAGUCCUGAACCGUCCUAACGGUGCAAUGUACUUACCCGAUCGCCGCCGUUCCCCCGGCGGCUAUCGGCGUUGCUCCCGGAGUGGGGAGACUGCCUGCAGCCCAGACAGACUCCACAUGGUGGAUUAGGAUCAACAGAGCGAUCACAUGGUCACAAUAGGUGUCCAUCUGUCUGCCUGCAGGGGGACUGUCU